CAGCCGCCACGGUAAUACGAAGGGAGCCAGCGUUGUUCGGAUUUACCGGGCGUAAAGGGCGCGUAGGCGGACUGAUAAGUCAGGGGUGAAAUCCCAAGGCUCAACCUUGGAACUGCCUUUGAUACUGUUUGUCUUGAGUUCGAGAGAGGUAAGUGGAACUGCGAGUGUAGGGGUGAAAUUCGUAGAUAUUCGCAAGAACACCAGUGGCGAAGGCGGCUUACUGGCUCGAAACUGACGCUGAGGCGCGAAAGCGUGGGGAGCAAACAGGAUUAGAGACCCCUGUAGUCCCUGUCUCUUAUAC
rnacentral:rRNA from 1 species